rnacentral:rRNA from 1 species
UACGGAGGAUGCAAGCGUUAUCCGGAAUUAUUGGGCGUAAAGCGUCCGCAGGUGGCAGUUCAAGUCUGCUGUCAAAGACCGGGGCUUAACUUCGGAAAGGCAGUGGAAACUGAACAGCUAGAGUAUGGUAGGGGCAGAGGGAAUUCCUGGUGUAGCGGUGAAAUGCGUAGAGAUCAGGAAGAGCAUCGGUGGCGAAGGCGCUCUGCUGGACCAUAACUGACACUCAGGGACGAAAGCUAGGGGAGCGAAUGGG